UGUACAACUUUUCAAAAAAACAUCUAGAAAAAAACAAGCAGAGAACUGGAAUUAUUGAGCGAUACAAUAAACUGCUAAAUCACUUUGACCUUCACACCAAAUCCAGAAUGUUCACAGUUGAAUUUAUCUCCUCCGGAUGAGAUUAAAAUGAUACAAAUGACAUACAGUUCCAAAAUAAUGUUAUUAGCAUUCUGUCUUAUGCACCAUAAAUGUUACAAAUACUGAGGUUUCCUCAAAAAAAAAAAAAAAAAAUCAAACUUGAAACUGACGGUGGUAAUGACACUUCCAUUGUCUACCUCAAGGACCUUCAGGUUGGCUAACUUGCCACAGCCAUGUUGUGUUGUAAAAAUGUGACACAGUGUUUUGCUCUUACACGAACCACUUGAUCAAAUGCAUUGUGGCAUGUUGGUACGCAGAGAAGGGA